UACGUAGGGUGCAAGCGUUGUCCGGAAUUAUUGGGCGUAAAGAGCUCGUAGGCGGUUUGUCGCGUCGAAUGUGAAAACCCGGGGCUCAACCCCGGGCCUGCAUUCGAUACGGGCAGACUAGAGUUCGGUAGGGGAGUCUGGAAUUCCCGGUGUAGUGGUGAAAUGCGUAGAGAUCGGGAGGAAUACCUGUGGCGAAGGCGGCCUACUGGGCCGGACCUGACGCUGAGACGCGAAGGCGUGGGGAGCGAACGGG
rnacentral:rRNA from 1 species